CUGGCUCAGGAUGAACGCUGGCGGCGUGCUUAACACAUGCAAGUCGAACGAAGCACCUCUAAUCGAAGAUUGAGAAGCUUGCUUUGAUUGAUUCACCUUGAGGUGACUGAGUGGCGGACGGGUGAGUAACGCGUGGGUAACCUACCCUAUACAGGGGGAUAACAGUUGGAAACGACUGCUAAUACCGCAUAAGCGCACGGGACCGCAUGGUCUAGUGUGAAAAACUCCGGUGGUAUAGGAUGGACCCGCGUCUGAUUAGCUAGUUGGUGAGGUAACGGCUCACCAAGGCGACGAUCAGUAGCCGACCUGAGAGGGUGACCGGCCACAUUGGGACUGAGACACGGCCCAAACUCCUACGGGAGGCAGCAGUGGGGAAUAUUGCACAAUGGGCGAAAGCCUGAUGCCAGCGACGCCGCGUGAACGAAGAAGCAUUUCGGUAUGUAAAGUUCUAUCAGCAGGGAAGAAAAAUGACGGUACCUGACUAAGAAGCUCCGGCUAAAUACGUGCCAGCAGCCGC
rnacentral:rRNA from 1 species